GAUAUCAGGUUGAAACAUCAGUCCCCGUACGAUCACCGAAGUUAAGCAACGUCGUGCCCGGUCAGUAUAUAAAUGGGUGACCACUUGGGAAUAA